GGGCUGUUAGCUCAAUUGGCAGAGCAAGCGACUCUUAAUCGCUAGGUUCCGAGUUCGAUUCUCGGACAGCCCA
rnacentral:tRNA from 1 species